UCCCUGGUAGUAUAUCGGUUAGUACACGCGCCUGUCAUUCCAUUUUGUCUGGUCUUCGUAAAAGGGUAGACGCGCGAAAGCUGGGUUCGACUCCCAGCCAGGGAG